GAUGAACGCUAGCGGCAGGCUUAAUACAUGCAAGUCGAGGGGCAGCAGGACUGUAGCACUACAGUUGCUGGCGACCGGCACACGGGUGCGGAACACGUACGCAACCUACCCAAAACUGGGGGAUAGCCCGGGGAAACCCGGAUUAAUACCUCGUUACCUUUUUACGUGUCAUCACUUGAUAAGUAUAGCUCCUGCGGUUUUGGAUGGGCGUGGGCCUGAUUAGGUAGUUGGUGCGGGUAACGGCCCAGCAAGCCUGCGAUCAGUAACUGGUGUGCGGGCACGACCAGUCACACGGGCACUGAGACACGGACCCGACUCCGACGGGAGGCAGCAGUAAGGAAUAUUGGUCAAGGGACGCAAGUCUGAACCAGCCAUGCCGCGUGAAGGAGGAAUGUCCUCUGGAUUGUAAACUUCUUUGAUGGAGGACGAAACCCGGAUAUUCUUAUCCGAUUGACGGUACCUCAGGAAUAAGCACCGGCUAACUCCGUG
rnacentral:rRNA from 1 species